rnacentral:lncRNA from 1 species
AGGGAGAGAGGACAUCAGAAGCUACACAUUUGGGACCUUCUCAGGCUUCACCCUAUGCACCUCUUUUUGCUGAUCCUGAUUUGUAUUAUUUGUGCUAUAAUAACACUGUAAUUAUAUGUAUAGGACUUUCCUGAAUUCUCUGUCACUGUCAGUCUAUUAAAUGAUUGAGCAUGAAGAGAGAGUAGGAACCCCUGAGUAUUUAGCUUGUUGGUCAGAAGUGCUGGUGGCCUUGGAACUCAUAAGCUUGUGGCUAGUUUCUGAGCUUACUAUGGAAAUGGAAAAGAACUGCUGCUUUGAAAGUUGAUAUUUAACUAACCCAGGCACAACAGGAAUACAACCUUUUACUACAGAUGUGGGAUUGUUCAUGUCAUCUACUAAUGCAAGAUGGAUCUGAGAACGCUGUCUGGGCUUGGUACCAAGAGCUGGUAUUUCACAGCAGCGACCGCCUCACAGACGAGCUGUGGGAAGCAGGAGGGAGACUCUCUCUUAGGGUGCCACUACUAUGGAGACACAGCUGGGCUGAACAAGAUUUGCUUCAAACGACAACAAGAGAGACAGAAAGUAUCUGGUUCAACCGCUGCCCGAGCAGGCAGGCACCAGAAGAGCUAGCAGCCAAUCCGGCCAUGCUCGAAGCCAGCUCUGCAGCUCAGCCAAUCAGUGACAUCAUUGCUUUCUUUAGCUUGCCCAUGGUGAUGUGAAGAUGAGAAGAAAUAGCAAGGCCCAACCAGUUCUUCAUCUGGAGACAGUUCAACGUUCUGCAAACCAGAUCUUCAGGAAUUUUACUGGGAUAAUUAUCCAAAUAAAUUGCAAGCAUUCUAUCCAAAUGGAGCUCUUUCUGAGAUGAAGAGAAUUCUCAAUGUCAAGAUUUGAACAAGAAGAGAAUGGAAUACACAAUAUGGACAUCCAUAAAAAUUCAUCAGAGAGCAUUUUACUACUGAGCUGCAAAGGGAAAAACUUAAAAUGGAUAUGAAAAGUGAAGAAAGUGAUCAUAGGAGAAAACCAUUUCAGGUGUCUGAUGAUUUGUGAGCCUCAAGUGACUACUCUGUGGAAUCAUCUGUCCUUGCCUUUGAAUUAGCUUUCCCUAGGCCAUGAGUCAACAUUAGUAGUUUAUACAUCCAAAUUGAUGACAAGAGCACCUCAAAGGCAGCAGCCUCAAGGAGCAGCCAUGGCCCCAGACUUGUCGCACGGAUGCAGAAAACUUAAUGGAGGAGGCUGAGGUCAGAAUGGGAAGAGUUUUUAAAAAAUAAAAAGGGGAGCUAAUAUGUGA